GCCAGACUCCUACGGGAGGCAGCAGUGGGGAAUAUUGCACAAUGGGGGAAACCCUGAUGCAGCGACGCCGCGUGAGCGAGGAAGUAUUUCGGUAUGUAAAGCUCUGUCAGCAGGGAAGAAGAAUGACGGUACCUGAAGAAGAAGCACCGGCUAAAUACGUGCCAGCAGCCGCGGUAAUACGUAUGGUGCAAGCGUUAUCCGGAUUUACUAGGUGUAAAGGGAGCGCAGGCGGUUCUGCAAGUCUGAUGUGAAAGCCCGGGGCUCAACCGCGGGACUGCAUUGGAAACUGCGGGACUGGAGUGUCGGAGGGGUAAGCGGAAUUCCUGGUGUAGCGGUGAAAUGCGUAGAUAUCAGGAGGAACACCGGUGGCGAAGGCGGCUUACUGGACGAUGACUGACGCUGAGGCUCGAAAGCGUGGGGAGCAAACAGGAUUAGAUACCCUUGUAC
rnacentral:rRNA from 1 species